rnacentral:rRNA from 1 species
GACGAACCGUGCGAACGUUGUUCGGAAUUACUGGGCGUAAAGGACGCGUAGGCGGCCUGCUAAGUCGAACGUGAAAUCCCUGGGCUCAACCCAGGAACUGCGUCCGAUACUGGUUGGCUUGAAUCCGGGAGAGGGAUGUGGAAUUCCAGGUGUAGCGGUGAAAUGCGUAGAGAUCGGGAGGAACAUCAGUUGCGAAGGCGGCCACCUGGACCAGCACUGACACUGAGGCACGAAAGCGUGGGGAGCAAACAGG